rnacentral:misc_RNA from 1 species
GCGUUCUGGUACUCACAGGGCAUAUCGACGUAAAGAAGUUCCUCCAAAGUACCACUAGCGUAUUUAAUUUGGAAAAGUCUGGGCAGAACCUCAACGGUUGUUUCAAAACCACGGCCAGGCUUGCGUUUGCAUAUUUCACAGUGCCAGAUAUCCUGAGGAAACACGCCGGUAGUCUGACGGCCACUUCCGUAAAGAGAAACACACCACCUUUUCU